AGAGAGAGAGAGAAAGAUGCACAACUCGACCACAACAUCGCAUCAGAUCACAUCAGACUCCUGUGCGUCUGACUUUCUGCUCUCUCUCUUCUCAGGUGAGGCAAAAGGUAAAGCAAACCCACCACCCAGGAGCUGCGGCAUCACAGAGCUGCUACUACACAAACCCUUCUUCUCCGGAAGCCCUCAUUUAUUUUAUCUGAAAGUUUCCUAAAGCAGCGGGCGUUUCUUUCAUUUCCCGGACCACAGCGCUGGUUGAACGUGCCUCAUGCGCCACCUUUUGGACUCGGAGAGAAAAAACACCUGCAGGUGCGAUUCAUCCUUCAAAAUCAGAUGGUUGGAAACGAGAAUCAGUCAGCGCACUUUGGGCCUUGUGAUUUUUGAAGUGCAAAGAUUUACGACCGACACCUACUCACAGGUUCCAGGGGCCAGAUAACAAUCCAGAUUCAUACAAGUGACCAACCUGCCACAAGUUUGCUCUUCAGCGAAGCCUCUGAG